ACUACAAGUAAAACUGGUGGCACGUUAUAAUACUAGGUAUGGCCAUCAAUAUAUUAAUAGAAAAUGUCAGCCCUUUUUAAUGCCAGCUGAGGCAUUAAAGAUUGUAGUUUUCUUGCCUGACAUAAGUUAGCCAUGGCAAUGUUUGUUAGAACAAAACAGAAAACUUAACAGCCCUUUUUAAUGUUAGUUGUAGUUGGUGAUUGACAUUAGAUUUUAUACUUUUUUAGUCAGGUGUAAUUUUGCUUAUGGCAAUGGUUCUUAGAACCAGAAACAAAAACCCCAAUGGCCCAUUUUAAUGCUAGGUGAGGCCAUUGAGAAAUAAAAGAUUUUAUAGUUUCCGGCUUCACCAAGUGAGUGGAGGAACAAGUGAAAUCCUGCCGCCAAAUAUCAUGUUCCUGGAGAGAGACAAUGCUUGCUGAGCAUAAGAGAGGAAGAAAGAAGAGAAGGAAGAAAAAAAGAAAAAACAAGAGAACAAGAAAAUAUCCACAACCCAAGACCUCUUAGCCUUCAGCUGUGAUGUGGCCUUCUACAUGCUGAGGGCAUCUACUACGCUGUCUUAAAAGACAGAAGAUUCAAUUGUCACCCUACAGUGUUGAUGGAGAACAUGGAAGAGGAAUGAAAAGCAAGAAUGCUAUUUCACCAAGUAAAUCAAAAUAAGCCUGUAGAAAAAUCCCCCAAAGAAUGUUAGUUUCAUUAACAAAGGACACCACACUUUUUAAUGCAAGGUGUGGCUGAUAUUGAUAACAGAUUGUAUAGUUUUAUGGUCUGGCAUAAUUUUAGCCAUGGCAGUAGUUCUUAAAACCAAGAAGAAAAUAUUUAUGGCCCCAUUUUAAUGGUAGCUGUGGCUGUUGAUUAUGGCAAUACUAAUUAGUUUUCGGGCCUGGUGUAAUAUUAGCUAUGGCUGUGGAUCUUAGAAUCAGGCAGAAAGCAUCAAUGGGCAUUACUAAUGCUAGCUGUGACUGUUGAUUGAUAAUAGAUUUUGUAGUUUUUUUGCCUGGCAUAGUUUGGGCCAUGGCAAUGGUUCUUAGAACCAGAAAGAAAAGCAGAGCAGCCCAUUUUAAUGGUAGGUGUGGCUGUUGUUAAUAAUAGAUUUUCUACAUUUUUUGCCUGGCGUAAUUUGGACCAUGGCAAUGGUUCUUAGAACCAGAAAGAAAAGCAGAGCAGCCCAUUUUAAUGGUAGGUGUAGAUUUUCUACAUUUUUUGCCUGGCGUGAUUUGGGUCAUGGCGAUGGUUCUUAGAACCGGAAUAAAGAACUCAGCAGCCCAUUUUAAUGCUAGGAAUGGCUGUUGAAUGAUAAUAGAUUUUAUAGCAUUAUAGCUUCACAGAGUGAGGGGAGGAACGAGCCAAACGUCGUCUUCCUGGAAAGAGACAACAACAACUGGACAGAGGAGAGGAAGAAAGAAGAGAAAGAAGAAAAGGAGAAGAAACGAGAGCAAGAAAAUAUCCACAGCUCAAGCCCUCUUAGCCUUCGGUUGCAAUCUGGCCUUCUAUAUCCUGAGGCAUGUACUACACUGUCUAGGAAGACUAGAAGAAUCAAUUGUCAGCCUGCAGUGUUGAUGGUGAAAAUGGAAGAGGGAACGAACGAAAAACAAGAAUGAAUCUGAUUUUCUUCAAGAAUGCUACUUCAUCAAGUAAAUCAAAACUGACCUGUAGAAGAAUCCCACAAAACGUAUGUUAGUUUCAUUAACACAACACACCACGCACAUUAAUGCUAGGUGAGACCAGUGAUUGGAAAUAGAUUUUAUAUUUUUCUGCCUGGCGUAAUUUUAGCCAUGGCAAUGGUUCUUAGAACCAGGGAGAAAACCUCAGCUGCUUUUUUUAAUGGCAAGUAUGGCCCACGAUGUAUAAAAAAUUUCGUAGUUUUCAUGCCUGCUUAGUACUAGAUCUGGUAAUGGUUCUUAAAACCAGGAAGAAAAUCUCUAGGGCCCUUUUCAAUGCAAGCUGUGGCCAUGGAUUACUAAAGUUCUCAUUACUUUUUUGGCCUGGUGUCAUUUUAACCAUGGCUGUGGUUCGUAAGAAUUGAGAGGGCCCCACAAGCUUCUCCCAGUUCCUGAGGAUUGCUCAGUGAGUUUCAUACUGGAAGGGAAUCCUUCUGGAUCCCCCUCCCUACUUUACACCUUUAGUCUAUCAAAUUUCACACCUAGCAAUAUAUAUCAUUCUUAGUGCAGUCCGUGAAGCAAGUGAGUCAAAGGAGGCGCACUAUUCCUGAUUCCA